rnacentral:rRNA from 1 species
AGAGACAGAGUCGCCACGGUAAUACGAAGGGGGCUAGCGCUGCUCGGAAUGACUGGGCGUAAAGGGCGCGUAGGCGGUUUGCACAGUCGGGUGUGAAAUUCCUGGGCUUAACCUGGGGGCUGCAUUCGAGACGUGUAGGCUUGAGUGGGGAAGAGGGUCGUGGAAUUCCCAGUGUAGAGGUGAAAUUCGUAGAUAUUGGGAAGAACACCGGUGGCGAAGGCGGCGACCUGGUCCUUUACUGACGCUGAGGCGCGAGAGCGUGGGGAGCAAACAGGAUUAGAUACCCCAGUAGUCCCUGUCUCUUAUACA